rnacentral:piRNA from 1 species
UUAUCUCAUAAUUUUCUGAUA